CAUCAAUUUCUCCACUGGCUACUCCCAAACAAUUUGAACAAUUCAUUCAGGCAGCAAGUGUUUCCACCAAUAAAAUAAAAAGAAUUGAUUUCAUCCAGAAGAACUG